rnacentral:rRNA from 1 species
UACGGAGGGUGCAAGCGUUAAUCGGAAUUACUGGGCGUAAAGCGCACGCAGGUGGCUGAGUCAGUCGAUUGUGAAAGCCCUGGGCUUAACCUGGGAAUUGCAGUCGAUACUACUCAGCUAGAGUAUGGGAGAGGGCAGUGGAAUUCCCGGUGUAGCGGUGAAAUGCGUAGAUAUCGGGAGGAACAUCAGUGGCGAAGGUGGCUGCCUGGCCCAAUACUGACACUCAGGUGCGACAGCGUGGGGAGCAAACAGG